GAUGAACGCUGGCGGCGUGCCUAAUACAUGCAAGUCGAACGCUGGAAAUCUAGCUUGCUCGAUUGAAGGAGUGGCGAACGGGUGAGUAAUACAUAAGCAACCUACCCACGAAGACUGGGAUAAUCUCUGGAAACGGGGACUAAUACCGGAUAGGUAAUCGGAAGGCAUCUUCUGAUUAUUAAAGGUUAAAAACACUGGUGGAUGGGCUUAUGGCGCAUUAGUUAGUUGGUGAGGUAACGGCCCACCAAGACGAUGAUUCGUAGCCGGCCUGAGAGGGUGAACGGCCACAUUGGGACUGAGACACGGCCCAGACUCCUACGGGAGGCAGCAGUAGGGAAGUUUCGGCAAUGGGGGAAACCCUGACCGAGCAACGCCGCGUGAGUGAUGACGGCCUUCGGGGUGUAAAGCUCUGUUGUAAGGGAAGAACGGUAGAUAGAGAAUAUCUAAAUGACGGUACCUUACCAGAAAGCCACGGCUAACUACGUG
rnacentral:rRNA from 1 species